GAUGAGUAAAUUAAGUUUGUUGUUGGGCAAAUGCUGAUAUAAACCUGCUGCUGUAGCUGAAAGGUGAGGCUGAGAGUCAGGGGACCGGAGGCUUGUGGUGCCAGGAUGGACCGGAGACUGAGGCUGGAGACCAGGGGCCUGCAGCACCGGACCAGAGGACCAGGAAUCCAUGGUUGAAGGAGCUGAUGGAGGAGCCGUGCUGAAGGCCCUGGCUGGUGGAGGAGCUGGUGGAGGCCCUGCCUGGUGAAGGACGUCUGUCGUGCGACCAGGACUCUGUCUGAGAAGAGCUGCUGGAGGUGCAGAGACGCUGGAGGACGACUAGGAAUCGACCAACAAGGUUUCCUCUUAAGUUUGUAUUUACUUACAUGGUUGACUUAAAGGGCAAAAAACAGCUGUUACUUUGACAUGCGUUAACCAACUACCGCUGUGUUUUCUUACUAGAACGUGUUUCUGGAGCGGAGGCGAGCUGGUAGGGGAGCCGUGAAUCUGGAGGAUGACCAUCACUCUACCAACAAGGAUUACGUCAGGGCCAGACUCGCACUGUUUGUUCCAGACCAGGACGGCUGAGGAGUGCUGAUGGAGGAGCCAAGACUCUGGAGGACGACAACACUCUACCAACCAGGAUCCUCAGACAAAUUACGUUUGUAACCAGACCAGGAAUCUGGAGGACUGAUGGAGAAGCCGUACAUCUGGAAGGCAAAUCCUGAGGACAACCAGGACUCUACCAUCAAGGAUUCCUCGUAAGUUAGCAUUAUCUGGACAUAGUGGACCAGACACACUUGAGCUGAACCUCACCUGAUCCUGUUUGGUCGGGGGUAGACACACCUGAGCUGAACCCGCCCUGAUCCUGCUGGUCCCGUCUCCUCAGUUCAUCUGAGCCUCGUCCUCCAGAAGACCUGCUGAGCUCAGCCGUCUGAGGCUGAUGGAUCAAUGACCUCCAGUGGGAGUGAUCUUCUUGACCCCACAUACCAGGAAUCCAUGGCUGAAGGAGCUGAUGGAGGAGUCGUGCUGAAGGCCCUGCCUGGUGGGGGAGCUGGUGGAGUCCCUGCCUGGUGAAGGACGUCUGUCGUGGGACCAGGACGGCUGAGGAGAGCUGAUGGAGGAGCCAAGACUCUGGAGGACGACAACACUCUACUAACCAGGAUCCUCACCAGGAAUCUGGAGGACUGAUGGAGAAGUCGUACAUCUGGAAGGAAAAUCCUGAGGACAACCAGGACUCCACCAUCAAGGAUUCCUCGGGCAGACAAACCUGAGCUGAACCCGCCCUGAUCCUGACAUCCUGCUGGUCCCGUCUCCUCAGUUCAUCUGAGCCUCGUCCUCCAGAAAACCUGCUGAGCUCAGCAGUCUGAGGCUGAUAGAUCAAUGACCUCCAGUGGGAGUCUUCUUCUUGACCCCACAUGUUAACCGUGUGCUUCCCCACGCCUUUCCCUCACAUCUGUCACUAACCUCACUACUUCACUACUGCUUCUUCUUCUUCCUUCUCUGUGGUUCGAACCUUUACACUGAAGGCGCGUCUUCCUGCCCUCAGAGGGUUCAGCGUUAGGGUUGAGAGUCAGGGUUUAGAGUCAGGGACAGAGCUGGUCAGGGAGGACUGCUUUUACACAAACCUCUUCACUUGCUUUCGGAAUGUUGGUGACAUUU